rnacentral:misc_RNA from 1 species
AUCCUGAGAAGAUGCGAAGAUGAUUAACCGACUUCAAUGAGACAGAACACAGAAUAAUACAGGUACCUAAAGGUACUAAAAAUUUGAACAAACCCUCUCAAAUAAUUCCAUGCACUUUCGUUUCCUUUUACCAGCUUAAUCUUCUUCAAUGUGAACUGAAUUUCUCGAUCAAUAACUUGUUGCUCAAACUUUGUCGUGUUAUUCAACACAAAGUAGCGCUGGUUCCAUGCAGAAUUAUUUCUUAUAUCUUCAUUCAAGAGCUGUUCUACGUACUCCAGCUCCCCUUCAAACAAACUGGAGGUUUUGAUGAGCCAUUGGCGGUGUUGCCAUGCAUGAUAAUUCUUUGCAUCUUUUUUCAGGAUAAUUUCCGUAAGAGGUAAAUCCACACUUGGAUCUUGAAGCCACUCAACUAUGACUUUCCUGUGAUGCCAGACUUGGUAAUUUUUAGGAUUAGUACGGAUCAAUUUUUCUAUGUAUUUCAAUUCAUCCCAAAGAUUCUUGUCCAAAGCUUUUAUUAUCUCCCUUCUGUACUGCCAUACCGUGUAAUUUGCCGGAUUCAAAGUUAUGCAAUCUUCAGUUAAACCCAAAGCUCGCUCAGACUUCUCCUCUGUCUUCAAAAUUGCUCGGAAGUAAUUGUAGGCAUCUGUGA